AGGACAGAUUCGAGAGUACAGUGAAGCUGCUGACGAGCGGCGGACGGCUGAGUAACGCGUGGGAACAUACCCCAAACUGAGGGAUAACGCACCGAAAGGUGUGCUAAUACCGCAUAUGAUCUUCGGAUUAAAGCUUCGGCGGUUUGGGAAUGGCCUGCGUACGAUUAGAUAGUUGGUGAGGUAAUGGCUCACCAAGUCGACGAUCGUUAGAUGGUUUGAGAGGAUGAUCAUCCAGACUGGGACUGAGACACGGCCCAGACUCCUACGGGAGGCAGCAGUAGGGAAUCUUUCACAAUGGGCGAAAGCCUGAUGGAGACCAACGCCGCGUGCAGGAUGAAGGCCUUCGGGUUGUAAACUGCUUUUAUAAGCGAGAAAUAUGAUGGUAACUUAUGAAUAAGGAUCGGCUAACUACGUGCCAGCAGCCGC
rnacentral:rRNA from 1 species